rnacentral:rRNA from 1 species
UACGUAGGGGGCUAGCGUUGUCCGGAAUCAUUGGGCGUAAAGCGCGUGUAGGCGGUCCGGUAAGUCCGCUGUGAAAGUCGGGGGCUCAACCUCGGAUGCCGGUGGAUACUGUCGGGCUUGAGUACGGAAGAGGCGAGUGGAAUUCCUGGUGUAGCGGUGAAAUGCGCAGAUAUCAGGAGGAACACCAAUUGCGAAGGCAGCUCGCUGGGACG